AGCGAACGCUAGCGGCAGGCCUAACACAUGCAAGUCGAACGAAGCCUUCGGGCUUAGUGGCGGACGGGUGAGUAACACGUGGGAACGUACCUUUUGGUUCGGAACAACUCAGGGAAACUUGAGCUAAUACCGGAUGAGCCCUUAGGGGGAAAGAUUUAUCGCCGAAAGAGCGGCCCGCGUUAGAUUAGCUAGUUGGUGAGGUAAAGGCUCACCAAGGCUACGAUCUAUAGCUGGUCUGAGAGGAUGAUCAGCCACACUGGGACUGAGACACGGCCCAGACUCCUACGGGAGGCAGCAGUGGGGAAUCUUGCGCAAUGGGCGAAAGCCUGACGCAGCCAUGCCGCGUGAAUGAUGAAGGUCUUAGGAUUGUAAAAUUCUUUUACCAGGGACGAUAAUGACGGUACCUGGAGAAAAAGCCCCGGCUAACUUCGUGCCAGCAGCCGCCGCCGUAA
rnacentral:rRNA from 1 species